rnacentral:rRNA from 1 species
UACGUAGGCAGCGAGCGUUGUUCGGAAUUACUGGGCGUAAAGAGUGUGUAGGCGGUGCUCUAAGUUCGGUGUGAAAUCUCCCCGGCUUAACUGGGAGGGUGCGCCGGAAACUGGAGUGCUCGAACGUGGGAGAGGAAAGCGGAAUUCCUGGUGUAGCGGUGAAAUGCGUAGAUAUCAGGAGGAACACCUGCGGUGUAGACGGCUUUCUGGACCAUUGUUGACGCUGAGACACGAAAGCGUGGGUAGCAAACAGG